AGAGUUUGAUCCUGGCUCAGAUUGAACGCUGGCGGCAUGCCUUACACAUGCAAGUCGAACGGCAGCACGGAGCUUGCUCUGGUGGCGAGUGGCGAACGGGUGAGUAAUAUAUCGGAACGUACCCUAGAGUGGGGGAUAACGUAGCGAAAGUUACGCUAAUACCGCAUACGAUCUAAGGAUGAAAGUGGGGGAUCGCAAGACCUCAUGCUCGUGGAGCGGCCGAUAUCUGAUUAGCUAGUUGGUAGGGUAAAAGCCUACCAAGGCAUCGAUCAGUAGCUGGUCUGAGAGGACGACCAGCCACACUGGAACUGAGACACGGUCCAGACUCCUACGGGAGGCAGCAGUGGGGAAUUUUGGACAAUGGGCGAAAGCCUGAUCCAGCAAUGCCGCGUGAGUGAAGAAGGCCUUCGGGUUGUAAGCUCUUUUGUCAGGGAAGAAACGGUGAGAGCUAAUAUCUUUUGCUAAUGACGGUACCUGAAGAAGUAAGCACCGGCUAACUACGUGCCAGCAGCCGCGGUAAUACGUAGGGUGCAAGCGUUAAUCGGAAUUACUGGGCGUAAAGCGUGCGCAGGCGGUUUUGUAAGUCUGAUGUGAAAUCCCCGGGCUCAACCUGGGAAUUGCAUUGGAGACUGCAAGGCUAGAAUCUGGCAGAGGGGGGUAGAAUUCCACGUGUAGCAGUGAAAUGCGUAGAUAUGUGGAGGAACACCGAUGGCGAAGGCAGCCCCCUGGGUCAAGAUUGACGCUCAUGCACGAAAGCGUGGGGAGCAAACAGGAUUAGAUACCCUGGUAGUCCACGCCCUAAACGAUGUCUACUAGUUGUCGGGUCUUAAUUGACUUGGUAACGCAGCUAACGCGUGAAGUAGACCGCCUGGGGAGUACGGUCGCAAGAUUAAAACUCAAAGGAAUUGACGGGGACCCGCACAAGCGGUGGAUGAUGUGGAUUAAUUCGAUGCAACGCGAAAAACCUUACCUACCCUUGACAUGGCUGGAAUCCCGGAGAGAUUUGGGAGUGCUCGAAAGAGAACCAGUACACAGGUGCUGCAUGGCUGUCGUCAGCUCGUGUCGUGAGAUGUUGGGUUAAGUCCCGCAACGAGCGCAACCCUUGUCAUUAGUUGCUACGAAAGGGCACUCUAAUGAGACUGCCGGUGACAAACCGGAGGAAGGUGGGGAUGACGUCAAGUCCUCAUGGCCCUUAUGGGUAGGGCUUCACACGUCAUACAAUGGUACAUACAGAGCGCCGCCAACCCGCGAGGGGGAGCUAAUCGCAGAAAGUGUAUCGUAGUCCGGAUUGUAGUCUGCAACUCGACUGCAUGAAGUUGGAAUCGC
rnacentral:rRNA from 1 species